rnacentral:rRNA from 1 species
CCUACGGGUGGCAGCAGUGGGGAAUAUUGCACAAUGGGGGAAACCCUGAUGCAGCAACGCCGCGUGAGUGAAGAAGUAUUUCGGUAUGUAAAGCUCUAUCAGCAGGGAAGAAGAAAGACGGUACCUGACUAAGAAGCCCCGGCUAACUACGUGCCAGCAGCCGCGGUAAUACGUAGGGGGCAAGCGUUAUCCGGAUUUACUGGGUUAAAAGGGUGCGUAGGCGGAAUGCCAAGGCUGCGGUAAAAUCGCGGGGCUCAACCUCGCUCCGCCGUUGAAACUGGCGGUAUUGAGUGGGCGAGAAGUAUGCGGAAUGCGUGGUGUAGCGGUGAAAUGCAGAGAUAUCACGCAGAACACCGAUUGCGAAGGCAGCUUACCGGCGCCCAACUGACGCUGAAGCACGAAAGCGUGGGUAUCGAACAGGAUUAGAUACCCCAGUAGUC